GUUAAAAUAAAACGAAGCCUUGUUAUAAUAAAACUUGCAGAAAUAGUUCAAACAGCCACAACGACAUUAAUGUAACAAUAAAAUAGAGAGUUUUGUUUUUUUUUUUUGUCACAAAGAGAGUUUUGUUUAGUAAGUAUAGUAAGUGGGGAUAUUGCUUCGGCAACUAUAGCUAUGCCAUGCGGGACUUCUUUUUCGAUUCUCAUGUGGGUCAAGUAUGGGAAUUGGGAAUGGUAGAUGCAGAGCGAACUAAUCCUGCAACAAUAGAUGAGGAUGGCUGAUGGUUGGCAGUUGUAGUUUCACCACCUUCUGCUCGCACACCACUUGCUACCUCUGCCAAAGUGUUAUCAGCACCAAGAAAGCCAUUAGAUGCUACCAGUUUCUCCAUAGGCACAUCAUCACUAGGUUCCUGACCAUCUUCCUGGUGAUAUCAAAGUGAUUAAGAUGAAUAUAUAAUUCAAAGAAAUGUAGAAAAAAUCUCAGUAUUAGGUACCAACAUGUAUAACAAAGUCUGGGAAUGGUGGAUGCUGAUUCUCACUGAUGAUACGGGGUAUGGUGAAGGUCUAGUGCUUGGAUGUGAAAUUGAACUUGACUAACUUGAGCUGAAAUAUGCAAGUUUUUUCCACAAUAUCAGAGAUAAUCUGGGGGAUCUCGUUGUAUACAUGAGCAUUCACACCUGUACCUUGAACUCAGUGAUGGAUGAAAACAUAAUUUAAUAAUUGAUAUAACAUAAAUAUUAAGGUGGGUUUCAUUGCUAUACUCAGAUGUAAGAGAAUUAAUUAAAAUUAAAUGCUUGAAAGAGGGAACCUAUACCAAAAUCUGAGCAGCUUCAAAUGCUUGAAUGCUUGUUAACUUUACAAUUUCCAUAUCAAAGGCCACAAACACAGCAUCAUCCUUCAGGUCUGAUACAGACAGCUCCACGCGGUGCCUGUAGUGAGUGAAUAGACACAAAGUGUAUUGUAGAGUGAGGAAAAUUUGGAAGGUAGCUAUAAUAUCAUGGAUAGCAGAGCUUAAGUAUUGUUACCUGAGGGCAGUCACAAAGUUGGUUUUAUCACAGAAAAGGCAUGUGAAAGAAGAAAUCUCUCACUGUAGCUUUGUUGAACAUUUCGAGCUUCCAAUAUAACACCAUCCUUUAUCUGUCUGAGUACCAUUAACUUUGGCGGUACACAGAAUAAUCUGUUAUAAGUCAGAGACAAUUACAAUUAGAAGUGAUAAAUGCGAGAGUAACAUGAGAGUGUUGUAAAUUUGACCUGAGGCUCAGAUGUGAUAACAUAUUUGUUUAGCUCAGGUAUGGUGAGUGGUUCUAUUUUCUGGGCGUGAAGCAACUUUGAUGAAGAGGGUGUCUGGUUAGAGCCAUCCCCAAUCAAUCUAAAGAGUUUUAAUGUGGUAGCUUAGUUAAAGUGAGGCAAAAUCAUAUGGUAAGAUAUUUAAUGAACUAACCACUAUGUAAUCUGUUAUUAAAAUUAGAGAUACUUACUUUUCAUAGUUUUCUUUUCCGGCAGCUGCUCAGUGUCAAAGUAGAGAUGGUUUCCAGAUGUCCUGUUGAGGAAUAACAGGCUUCAUACUAGGGUGUUUGAUUAUUAAAAAAAAGGUUAAUAUGAGAACACAAUAUAUACAAUGCAGUCGAGAACAUGUAGGGAUUAAUGCAUGAGAGAUUAUAAAUAUUCAGAUUUCUCACCUCCUACAAGCUUAGGGUUUAUGCUAGUAACCAACACAACUUUUGGCUCAGAGCCGUAGCUGUCCAAUUUGCUAUGAAAUGCGAAAGCUAAACCGUCAAACAGGCUAACACAUACAUUCACGUCCCUGUGUAGAUUCAAUGUUAAUAAUAUUCAUAAAAUCUAAGUUCAGAUAUACAGUCAAAAACGAUUAAAUCUACAAUUGAAUUCCAUGUACACAAAGUACCUUAUGUAGCGUAAGCAUGACACACUAUGAACCGUGUGUUCCAUCAUUGAUGAUAGCAAUUAACUCACCAAGUAUAUCUUGCAAGCAAUGUUUUUAAAUCCGACCCGGACACUGAACCGGACGACUUACCGGAUUGCUGGGUUACUGGGUCGACCGCGGAUGAACCGCGGGUUAAUAAAUAAAUUAAUUUUAUUAUAUAAUAAUAUAUCAGCUAUGUAAAAUAAAAAAAUAGAAACUAAAGUUUAAAUUUUCUAAAUGUUUUUUAAAACAUAAAAUAAUAGUUUGGAUAUGUAUAUAUUUUAUGUUUAAAAACUUUUAGAAAAUACUUAACUUUUAUUUUUAUAUUUUUAUUUUUAUUUGACAUACAAAAUAUCAAAAAGUAGUUUAGACUAUUUAAAAUUUUUUCCAACAAAGUAAGAUUUACGACAUCUAAAAAAUCAAGACAUAAAAUUUAUAAAUAUUUAAAUGUCUAAUUGAAUAAUAAAUUAAACUUCAAAUACAAAAUAAACCAAAAAUAAAAGAUCAUUGUAAUAAAAUGUCAAUAACGGAAAUAAACUAACACCAAAUCACAUCAACUAAUUUUAGUUAUCUCUACCAUCGUUCACUUCAUUUUCUUCAGGUGGCAUAGUGAAACUGAAAUCUUCAUCAAAAUCUAAAAAUCACAAAUAUAAAACUGAAAAAGAAAAACUUAACUUUUUUUUGCCAGCACCUAACUUCUUAAUUGUAAACUUAGAAUAUAAAACAUAAUCUAAAAACUUAAUCAAAACUUAAAAAAAUGAAGUAAAAGUUAUUUAUUGGUUCGACCGGUGGUUCAACCGUUAUCAGGUUCCGGGUUUUACUGGAUUUUUACGGGUAUUUACGGGUUUUUAAAUAUUGGGUUUUUCAUAAAAUCCAAACCGGAUUUUUUCUUGGUUACCGGGUUUACCGGUUCAACCGCGGGUCCGGGUCGGGUUUCAAAACACUGCUUGCAAGUUUACUAGUCCAAUGGGGUGAAUAAUACGGUUACAACUUGUUGAGCAGUCAGAUAUAGAAGAUCCAAAGCAUACAUGGUAGUUGUUUAUUGGUAUUUGCCAGUGCCAAUAGAUCGUUGUAGCUGUGGAAUCUUCACCAUAUUGGACUUUUUAUCCUCAAGUUAAUCACCACCCGGCCAUAAGUCCUUGUUAUCUAUCUAUCUAUAUCUAUUAUAAUAAAGUAGGAUUGUCUAUCUCCUCCUGCGUCCACGUCAUCAAGGAAGAAGGAGCAUUUUUGGACAUGUGUCCUCUCUCUUUUACGUGAUCUUUGUAAUUGUUAUUUUAACUUUUUGGGCUACUAAUGUUUUUUUCGUUUAUGGGCUCUUCAUAGAUGGCCCAUCUCUUUCUAGGGUUUUUGCUUGCUGCGACCAGGACUCGGCUCCUUCUCCAAAUCUCUUCGUCUUCUAGAAACUCAGACCAUCACCUCUGUAACGUCAUCCGUUUGUGGCUUCGAUCUCAUCAUUUACUGCUUACCCAUUACUCAUUCCACUCUCUCUAAAUUAAACAUCGUCAUUAUCAUCAAAAGAGGCCGCCUGAGACUCUUCACUAUAAAAUGGUACCUUCUCAGAGAUGAAUAGCCACAGUUGUACGAGAUCUCUGCUUACGCGUUUAGUGACGUUACACAGAGCGAUAACAAAUUUCGGCUCUCUGAUGCCGGAAUUACAAUGGAAAGAUGUCUGGCUGCACCACCAUGGACCGUCGUAUGAUAUCCAAGCUUGACAGUACUUCUUGCUCUAUCUUGAAGAUCUCUUGUAAGUCUUUCUACAUUUAAUCUGCAUAAUUCUGCUUUCUCCGGGAUUUGAAACUCAGAUCUCAUGAUGUAGAAUUAUUAAUUAACCCUUAGUCAAACCACUGGAUCAAGGGAGCUUCAUCUCAUAGCUAUCUCAUUAAAAAGAUGUUUAGUGAGUUAUAGAUAAUACACAAAUAAGGAAAUCUAGAUAAGAUUAAGAAAUUUGGAUAAGUUUUUUGUUAUCAUAUUACAUUACAUGUAGAAUAAGAAAAUAGUUUAUAUAUAAAUAGUUAAUAUAAUUGUUCUAUAAGAAAACCAUAAAGAGUUUUAGUUUUGACUGAGUUUCUAAAAUGAUCAGAAAAUUGUUCUUAUAAUUUUGGGAAAUUACUCAAAAUGACUCAAAUUAUAUAUGUAAUGACUAGAAUAACUCUUAUAAUUUUGUAUCUACUAGAAUAACUCAUAAGGGAAACAAAAAUACCAAAAAACCAGUCUAAGCUGCCAUUAUAUUUUAUUAAUAGGAAUAAAUUUUAAUUGUGUAAAAGCAAAAAAAAAAAAUAGAAGGUCGACUUCUCUUUCUCUUUCGCAGCCGCAUGGGACGACACCAAAGGAGAUUUUUUCUCCGACACUUCCAUCUCCGAUCUCCGACACCUCUUUCUCCAUCACCACCUUCGAAGGUCACGGCCGUAUAUCAAUUUCUAACACCCCAACCCCAUCUCGUCUUCCUGUUUGUUGUCGUCGACAAACCCUAACCCCACACCACCGAUUUAAGUCACCACCGCAUUCAACUCCCAGAAACUUGAAUCCAUACGGUAUUGGAUUAUGAGGCCAAGGUUAAGACACAUAGGAUCAAAUUCUCAAUUUUUCUCGUGUGGGUGAAACUGACUCAAGACAAGACAAGAGAAAGAGACUGAAACAUGCUCAAGACGGGAAAUGAUCAAGAGUGUGCUGAGAUGGGGAUUGACUGAUCUGAGUUUUUUUCUCUAUUGUAGUUGUGGGGCUUGUAACACUUAGCAUCUUGGAAUGAACGAAAGAAAUUAGAUACCUUGUUGUUCCCUAAAAGUUUAUUGGCAUUGUAAAGAGUUUAAAUUGUUGAUGUCAUCCACAUCCUCUUUUGAGCA